GAUGAACGCUAGCGGCAGGCCUAACACAUGCAAGUCGAGGGGCAGCACAUAAAGUGGUUUACUACUUUUGGUGGCGACCGGCGGACGGGUGCGUAACGCGUAUGCAACCUGCCUCCAACAGGGGGAUAACGGAGAGAAAUUUCCACUAAUACCCCAUAGUAUCAGAAUCGGCAUCGGUUUUGGUUGAAAACUCCGGUGGUUGGAGAUGGGCAUGCGUUGUAUUAGAUAGUUGGUGAGGUAACGGCUCACCAAGUCAACGAUACAUAGGGGGACUGAGAGGUUAGCCCCCCACACUGGUACUGAGACACGGACCAGACUCCUACGGGAGGCAGCAGUGAGGAAUAUUGGUCAAUGGGGGCAACCCUGAACCAGCCAUGCCGCGUGCAGGAAGACGGCUCUAUGAGUUGUAAACUGCUUUUACAAGGGGAUAAAUCGGUGUACGUGUACACCGUUGAAGGUACCUUGGGAAUAAGGAUCGGCUAACUCCGUGCCAGCAGCCGCCGUAA
rnacentral:rRNA from 1 species